rnacentral:rRNA from 1 species
GUGUGCAGCCAUGCCACCCUGAACAAGUCCGAUCCCGUCUGAUCUCAGAAGCUAAGCAGGGUCGGGCCUGGUGAGUACUUGGAUGGGAGACCACCUAGGAAAACCAGGUGCUGUAGGCG